CGGGAGGGUAGAGAGUCCCCAGCAAGUGACAAAGUUUCCUGCAGCAAAGGACGUGGUUAGAUGUGUGUUAGGAAAGGCCCCUCCGAGGUUGCCGAGUGACAAAGGCGCCAAAGAGGCCCAGGUGGGCUUCAGAAGGACAGGCAAGGGUUACACAGGUGAUGGGUGAUGGGGGCUUGGACCCCUGAGCCCUACCUACUCUUGCUGGCUGGGUCCUGAGCUAGCGCUCUAGCCUCCUGAGGGGACCCCAGUUUCCUCCAGCACGCUCCAUGCCAGCUCUGGCUGCUGGCUGCAACACCCUUUCCGCUUCUCCGUCCCUGGAUGUUAGUCCCCAAAUGCUCCCUGCCCCUUGCAGACAGCACUCAGGCCAGUGGGAGCUGCCACUUCAUUUUAGAGAGGACAGAACGAUUGGGUUCAAAACUUUGAAGUCAGUAGUGAGUGGCAGAGAUGGGAGGUGAACCUUAGUCUGUCUGCCUCAUCCACCAUACUAGGUGGCCUUGCAGUUUCAGGAAGGGUUCUGUCACUUGAUGGCUAUGGGACUUCGGGUGAGUCACAUUACCUUUCACUGCCUCAGCAUCCUCUUCUACAAAAUGGGAGUGAUCAUAUGCUCUCUGGGGUUUGUGAAGAGUGACAGAAUAAAUGCCCACAAGGAGUCCAGUGCAGUACCAGGCACACAGCAGGCGCUCAGUUAAUGGUUGCCCUUCAUGUGAAAACUGCCCUAGGAACUUUACAUGCUCAGUGGGGAUAUGUGCUUCGGGCUCCUGAGUCAGGGGAGGACAAAGGGAGAUCCAGGAGGGCUGGGAAGGGAGAAGAAGGUGGAAACUGCUUCUUGGGGCGGGUCAGAGCUAAGUUACCCAGAGUUCCGGUCCUGAAGGGCCUUGAAUGCAACGCCGAAGAGCCACCAAAACAAAACUUCCGGAGUUAGAGAAAGCACAACAACUGCCCUAAGCCCAGGGAUGGGAUACUUUCUCCUCCACAGGUGCCAGCACUGGCCCGCAGCGCCCGAGCGAGCCUGGAGAGCAGAAACGAAAUGGGCACGGGCAACACAUUCCCAGUCUUCAGAGAAUACGAGUCCAGAUAGCCCUCCCAAGGCUUGUGAACCUUCCCUGUGUAACUCCCCAGCUAGUCACACGGUGGCGAUAGUGUACCACAAAAGUCCUCUUUCUCCUCCAAGUCUAUCAGCUAAAACAGUCGAGUACCAAUCAGUGCCUCCAAGAACCGUAGGGAGAAUCCUUGCAUCAGCUCCGUGAGACGGAGUCUGUUUAUAUUUCCAACUUCCAGGUGGGAAUGAGGACUCAGAGAAGUCCAAUAUUGCCCUGAAGAUCAUCCAACCAAGACUCGAACUUUGAUCUCUGCUAUUUCCCAGUCUGGCUGCCUGCCCUAGGACUGCAGUUCAUGGUUCUCUCUCCUGCCUCCAGCAGUCGGCAGUGCUGCCUUUGCCGAGCUGGCAAUUAGUCUGCCCUGGGUGUGGAAUAUUAGACAGGACAAGGAAGACUUUCACUUUGGCUUCCCCUCUUAAGUUUAGCUCACUUGUGCAGCUUUUGCAUUGUGAGUGAAGCCAAAGGGGUGGGGUGAGGAAGGAAGCCCAAGGGAAGUAAAUGGGAGAGAGGGCAGAACCUGGCUGGAGGGGCAUUGAGAUUUCUCUUUUUCAAUCCGCAGCGCAGCGCGCGCCCCCAGGACUGACCGCUGCUGAUUGGCCUGCGGGGGCCACCUGACCGAGCCGGCCAAUCAGAGGCGCUCUCCCAGAAAUGCUUUAAGCGCUGUGUGAGCGGAAGCUAGAGCUGCGGUGGGGCGGCUCCGGGGCCACGUGCAGACAACUGGGCUCCUGUCCCGCUACCCUGCCUGAGUCCGCAGACCCGACUGGCCCGGACCCUGAAUCCUUUUGCCAAGUCUCCCUCUUCUCUCCAGCCGGCUCAUGCAGUUUAUCCCUGUUAUGUACAUCCCAGUCCCUUUUGUCACGUCAGGCUCAAAAUGGUGAUGUGGCGGAAGACAGAACCAAGUUCAAGUCACUCAUCAAGUGACCAACGACAGGUGUUUAACAUUGUUGAGACUUAGGUUCCUGCUCUGUAAAAUGAGACUGCUAAAUACCUACCAGGUGUUUUUGUACAUGGUUGAGUCCCCCCUCCACCCCCCAAAAAAUACCCAUGGGUUGUAUUUUUUUAUGGUUGUUGAAUUUCCUACCCUUUAGGAGCUCACAAUCAUCAUGCAAGGCCUGGUGUUAAGGCUACUUUUUCUUUCUAGUCUCUUACUAGAUCGUAAACUGCUUGUCAACAGGGAUCUGCCUGUGUGCCUUUUUAGUCUUCCAACGGCACAAUCGCUUCACUUGGUCUGCUAAGGGUCAAUUUAACCUACAGAAACAGUAGUAGGGCAGAGUAUGUAAAAACCAUGGGAUUUACAGCACAGAAAACCUCUGCAGUCAGGUGGGUUUCUGUGCCAUGAUCCACAAGUGUGAUGCCACAGGGAGCGUACCGGAGAAACACCUUAAGACUGCUGUCAUGUACCAGCUCUGUGAGCUUGGGCAGAUCUUGAACUCCCUGGAGCCUUGCAAGAACAAUGAUUGUGACCAGAAAGAUUACAGGACUUACCAGAAACAGCUGUAACCAGAUAAGCUUGAGGGAACCAACCUGAUAAGUGCAGCCAGCUGCAAAGAAGAAAUCAACAUGUCAUUAACCAAACAGUGUAUUUAAGCAAUGAAUAAGCCACCCUUCUGGGAGAUUGAGCUUUGAAUGUGAAUCCUGUGUCCUUUACUUUCUGCAAGUAAAUGAAACUGCCUAACAACAA